rnacentral:rRNA from 1 species
AGAGAUGUGUGAUGACGCAUAUCAAUAAGCGGAGGAAAAGAAACUAACAAGGAUUCCCCUAGUAACGGCGAGUGAAGCGGGAAGAGCUCAAAUUUGAAAUCUUAAAGGGUUUCCCUUACGAAUUGUAGUUUAAAGAAGUGUUUUCUGUUGGAGUUUCGGUAAAAGUUCUUUGGAAUAGGACAUCAUAGAGGGUGAGAAUCCCGUAUUUGAUCGUUACUUUCCAGCUGUGUGAUACACUUUCAACGAGUCGGAUUGUUUGGGAAUGCAGUCCAAAAUGGGUGGUAAAUUUCAUCUAAAGCUAAAUAUUGGCGAGAGACCGAUAGCGAACAAGUACCGUGAGGGAAAGAUGAAAAGAACUUUGAAAAGAGAGUUAAACAGUACGUGAAAUUGUCAAAAGGGAAGCGUUUGACACCAGUGUUGUUUUUCCGAAAAUCAAUUACGAAUGUUUUGUUUUUGAGAAGUUAUGACUUCAUCGGCUUGCUUCUUUCUUUACGAAACUUUCUUAAUGCACUUUUCGGUUAACAAGUCAACAUCAAUUUCUUUUGUUGUAAAAGGGUACGAGGAAGGUGGCUUUCUUUUCGGAGAAAGUGUUUAUAGCCUUGUACCUCUGCAAUCGGAGAGAUUGAGGUCUGCAGCGUAGAUCCUUCGGGGUUAGAUAAUUUUGUGCUAAGUUAUAGCUUUCAUAGACAACUUGUUGACUAUGUUAAGUCUUGUAGCUUACUCGCUUACUGCUAUUUUACCUACGCUUAGGAUGUUGAGUAGCGACAUACGCACA